UCCAAGGAACUCUUCCUCUUCAGAAGAUUCAUUGAAAAUUUCAAGGAUUUUCUUCUUUUCUUGAUUUUCUAGCUCCGCAGCAGAGGGAAAACACGGUUUCAGAUUGCAUACAUGCACCGUGCGAACAUCCUCACCUGUGGAUUCUAGUGAUAUCCGAUAGUUUACAGGGCCCACCUGUUUCAAGAUACGCAUUCCAUUGCCUGGGUCUGGAGUUCAGCAAGAUGAUGAACUGUAUCAUAAGAUGAGCAGUCUGGAGUUAGAUUUGUACCCUGCAACACUUUGUCCAUAGGGCUUUGUAGCUUCCUCCCCAAAUGAAGCUCAGCAGGCGUCAUUCCAAUAGUUUCCUGAACAGCAGAAUUGAUGGCAAAACGGAGUUCCGGUAAGUACUGGUCCCAUUUCCUGUGAUCGUUGUCCACAUAGGCAGAAAUCAUACAUUUGAGGGUGCGAUUAACUCUUUCCGUCAUAUUUGUUUGUGGAUGAUAUGAUGUUGUUAGCUUUUGUUUUACACUCCACUUUUGACACAGUUCUUGGAACAACAAUGAGACAAACUGAGCACCUCUAUCUGACAGGAUGAAGUCUGGUACCCCCCAUCGGGUCAGAAUUUCUUUCCGAAGUAGCAAUGCAACAGUCUGAGCAUUUGCAUUUCGCAUUGGGAAGAAUUCCACCCAACGGAAUAAUAGUCUACAAAGAUCAAGAGAUAUUCAUUUUGCUGAGUGCUCCGAGGCAGUGGGCCCAUAAUGUCAACACCAAUCAUUUCAUUGGGAUGGGUAGUGAUGGUUUGUUGCAGUUUUCCUGCAGCUUUCUUAUUUUCUCCUUUCAAAGUCUGGCAUUUUACACACCUUUUAACAUGUUGCUUGAUAUCAUUCCACAUGCCAGGCCAGAAUGCAACAUCAUAGAUACGCUUGUAGGUCUUGUAAAUACCUACAUGACCGCUCCAGGGAUUUGCGUGGUAAUGAUACAGAAUGGAUAGCACAAGGCUAUCUGGAAUGUACACUCUAUAAUGAACUUCAUUGUUUGACUGGUGAGUUUUAUGGUAGAGGGUAUCUUCCAGUACUUCAUAUUGGUCUGUCAAAGUAGAGGCAUUAUCUGCUAAGGCUUGAAGUAUGUUUAUGACUGCAGGAUCCUUGUGCUGCUCUUCCCAAAUGACUGCAGGAGACAUUGGAAGUUCUGGUUUCUCCUGUUGGUUGGUGUAGAGGCUACAACUGGUGUGCAUCCGAGACAGAGCAUCAGGUGCCAUAUUCAACUUCCCUUUGCGAUAUUCAAUGACGAAAUCGAAUCUUUGAAGUCGCAAUGCCCAUCUGAUUAAACGACUUGUGGUUUUUGUCGAGGACAUUACCCAUUGUAGUGCAGAGUGAUCUGUGACAACGGUGAACAGUUUGUAGUCUAAAUAGUGCUGCCAUUUUUCAAGAGCCCAGAUUACAGCCAAGCACUCUUUUUCUGUGGUAGAAUAAUUGGCUUCUGCUUUGGUCAAGGUUCUGCUGGCAUAAGCAAUCACCUGUUCCUUUCCCUGGUCCUUUCUCUGAGUCAACACGGCACCCAAACCAGUGUCGCUGGCAUCCGUGUAUACUGUGAAGGAAAGUUGCAGGUCAGGAUGGCCAAGGAUGGGAGGAGAGUGCAUUCAGAGGUUCAGCAAUUCUGGAGAAGUUUGGAACAAACCGGUGGUACCACCCGGCUAAACCCAAGAAGCGCUGGACCUCUUUGAUGUUGGUAGGCACGGGGUAUGACUGUAUGGCUUCUACUUUGCUGGGGUCUGCAGAAACUCCUUUGGUACUGACGACAUGUCCCAGAAAUGUUAUCUCUGAUAGGCAGAACUUACUUUUUUUCAGGUUAAUGGUUAGGCCAGCCACUUCUAGUUUGUGAAGAACAGCCUGAAGGUCUGAGAAAUGCUGGGCGACAGAAGGUGAGUAAAUAAUUAUGUCAUCAAUAUAGACAAAACAAAU